GGGGGCGGCCUUACCAUGCAAGUCGAACGGUAACAGGUCUUCGGAUGCUGACGAGUGGCGAACGGGUGAGUAAUACAUCGCGAACGUGCCUAGUAGUGGGGGAUAACUACUCGAAAGAGUGGCUAAUACCGCAUGAGAUCUACGGAUGAAAGCAGGGGAUCGCAAGACCUUGUGCUACUAGAGCGGCCGAUGGCAGAUUAGGUAGUUGGUGGGAUAAAAGCUUACCAAGCCGACGAUCUGUAGCUGGUCUGAGAGGACGAUCAGCCACACUGGGACUGAGACACGGCCCACACUCCUACGGGAGGCAGCAGUGGGGAAUUUUGGACAAUGGACGCAAGCCUGAUCCAGCAAUGCCGCGUGCAGGAUGAAGGCCUUCGGGUUGUAAACUGCUUUUGUACGGAACGAAAAGCCCUGGGUUAAUACCCUGGGGUCAUGACGGUACCGUAAGAAUAAGCACCGGCUAACUACGUGCCAGCAGCCGCGGUAAUACGUAGGGUGCGAGCGUUAAUCGGAAUUACUGGGCGUAAAGCGUGCGCAGGCGGUUUUGUAAGACAGAGGUGAAAUCCCCGGGCUCAACCUGGGAACUGCCUUUGUGACUGCAAGGCUAGAGUACGGCAGAGGGGGAUGGAAUUCCGCGUGUAGCAGUGAAAUGCGUAGAUAUGCGGAGGAACACCGAUGGCGAAGGCAAUCCCCUGGGCCUGUACUGACGCUCAUGCACGAAAGCGUGGGGAGCAAACAGGAUUAGAUACCCUGGUAGUCCACGCCCUAAACGAUGUCAACUGGUUGUUGGGUCUUAACUGACUCAGUAACGAAGCUAACGCGUGAAGUUGACCGCCUGGGGAGUACGGCCGCAAGGUUGAAACUCAAAGGAAUUGACGGGGACCGCACAAGCGGUGGAUGAUGUGGUUAAUUCGAUGCACGCGAAAACCUUACCACCUUUGACUGUACGGAUCCUUAGAGAUAGAGGAUGCUCGAAGAGACCGUACACAGUGCUGCUUGCUGCGUCACUCGUGCCUGAGAGUUGGGUUAGUCCGCACGAGGCAACCUUGCAUUAUUGCACGAAGGCCUCUAUGGGAUGCCGUACAACCGAGAAGGGGGGAGACUCAGUCUCUGGCCUUUAGGGGGGUACACGUCUACAUGGUGGUAAAAGGUGCCACCCCGAGGGGACUAUCCUAAGCCGUCUAUCCGAUCAAUUGACUCAUGGUGAUCGAACCUUUACUGGACAAAGCCGGAAAAUUCCGGUUGACACCCCGCACCUGGACGGUCCCAAAAGGCUACCAGGGGUACCCGGUUGUGUGACAUGAAUAGGAGGGUGUGUGGCUAUAAUACCAGAAAAAAAAGGGAGUAAAAAAAAAA
rnacentral:rRNA from 1 species